CCUACGAGAGGCAGCAGUGGGGGAUAUUGCACAAUGGGGGGAACCCUGAUGCAGCGACGCCGCGUGGGUGAAGGAGCGUUUCGGCGCGUAAAGCCCUAUCGGCAGGGAAGAAGGAGGACGGUACAUGACUAAGAAGCCCCUGCUAACUACGUGUCAGCAGCCGCGGUAAUACGUAGGGGGCAAGCGUUAUCCGGCGUUACUGGGUGUAAAGGGGGCGCAGACGGCAGCGCAAGCCAGGAGUGAAAGCACGGGGCACAACCCCGGGACUGCUCUUGGAACUGCGCGGCUGGAGUGCAGGAGGGGCAGGCGGAAUUCGUGGUGUAGCGGUGAAAUGCGUAGAUAUCAGGAGGAACACCGGUGGCGAAGGCGGCCUGCUGGACUGCGACUGACGUUGAGGCCCGAAAGCGUGGGGAGCAAACAGGAUUAGAUACCCCAGUAGUC
rnacentral:rRNA from 1 species